rnacentral:rRNA from 1 species
GAUGAACGCUGGCGGCGUGCCUAAUACAUGCAAGUCGAGCGAACAGAUAAGGAGCUUGCUCCUUUGACGUUAGCGGCGGACGGGUGAGUAACACGUGGGUAACCUACCUAUAAGACUGGGAUAACUUCGGGAAACCGGAGCUAAUACCGGAUAAUAUUUCGAACCGCAUGGUUCGAUAGUGAAAGAUGGUUUUGCUAUCACUUAUAGAUGGACCCGCGCCGUAUUAGCUAGUUGGUAAGGUAACGGCUUACCAAGGCGACGAUACGUAGCCGACCUGAGAGGGUGAUCGGCCACACUGGAACUGAGACACGGUCCAGACUCCUACGGGAGGCAGCAGUAGGGAAUCUUCCGCAAUGGGCGAAAGCCUGACGGGGCAACGCCGCGUGAGUGAUGAAGGUCUUCGGAUCGUAAAACUCUGUUAUUAGGGAAGAACAUACGUGUAAGUAACUGUGCACGUCUUGACGGUACCUAAUCAGAAAGCCACGGCUAACUACGUG